rnacentral:snRNA from 1 species
AGCUUUGUGCAGUGGCACUGUUGUAGCCACUGAGGUUUAUCCAAGGUAUGAUUAUUGCUAAUUGGAUAUAUAACCAGGAGUAGGAUUAUUGGAUCAUGUGGUGGUUCUGUUUUCAGUUUUUUAAGGUACCUCCAUAUUUUUUCCCAUAGUG